CUUUUAUUAAAGUAGAGGUUUAUUUUACCUUGUAAUCUUUGAUUGAAUUAGGCGUUGCUACAUUCAUAAUUUCGAGUAGCACAUUUUAUUGCUUCUUGCUCAUAUAUUUGGUUGUUCUUAUUCUGAACAGAGGAUGAUACCAUCAUUCUCACCAAGGUUAAAGUACCUCUGCUGGUGUUUUUCCAUCAGCAUGUUUAUGAGCAUGAAUGCAUUUUUCAUGGAAGUGUAUGAAUAGAAUCUGCCAGACUCCCUCGGUAUGCCCUUUCUACUUGAUUCAUCGAACACUUAACUCUGUUGGUAAGCUUAUUUAUUGUCUAAUUGUGUUUAUAUCAUAGAAAUUCUGAGAUAUGAAGCUCAGGAGGCAGAUGGCCAGCCAUAGUAUUGGUUAACAUGAUAGACUAACAGUCAAGUGUAUUCAUUAAAUUCAUAGGAUAUAACAGAUUUCGAUCAUAUGUAUGUAAAUUGUUGUGUGAUUA